UUGCAAACUCGAUCACUGGCUCUGCUUGAUGUAGCAGACGCAAAGGGAACCAGGUUUGCAACAGUAAAUGUGGUAGCAGAACCAUACUGGCCUUAGAAAUAGCAAUACUAAGGCUGUUUACUCUGUGACAGAACAAAA